UGAGAAUGAUGUGUCUUACAUGGCUUCUCCAAGGAAAUCUUCAAAAUCACCGUUUCAUGUAAGUGUCUCUAAAAAAUGUAAUUCUGCAGUUGUUACAUGUGUUGGUGCAAGGAGGUGUGGCCUAACUCAGUAUAUGUGAUGUGUUUUUCACAGGGAUCCUGCUAUCACAGUGAGGCAUGCAUCAUACUCAUGGAGAUCUCCACAGACAUACGGCUCAUAAAAAGAGGACAGGUGGGGUCCCCGCGAAGCAGCCAGGGCUGCGCGG
rnacentral:lncRNA from 1 species